GGCCCUCAAGCUCAUUAGGUAUGAGCAAUCGACUCAUAAUCGAGAGGUAGGCAGGUUCGAAUCCUCCGGGGGCCACCA
rnacentral:tRNA from 2 species